UACAGAGGUCCCGAGCGUUGUUCGGAUUCACUGGGCGUAAAGGGUGCGUAGGUGGUGAGGUAAGUCGGAUGUGAAAUCUCCGAGCUCAACUCGGAAAUGGCAUUGGAAACUACCUUGCUCGAGGGUUGGAGGGGGGACUGGAAUGCUUGGUGUAGCAGUGAAAUGCGUAGAUAUCAAGCGGAACACCAGUGGCGAAGGCGGCUAUCUGGACGGUUUCUGACGCUAAGACGCGAAAGCGUGGGGAGCAAACAGG
rnacentral:rRNA from 1 species